ACAAGUUAAGCUGUUCUGAAGAAAGAUUCAUUGCACUGUUAGAUUCAUUGUAUCACAUAAAGUACAAGGUUCAUUGCAUUGUGGUUGGAAAGUCACUAUCAGUGUCAGACAAUCAGAGUUUUGCUCUGAUGCAGCAGUAUCAUACUCACUUCUCCACUCCUCAAUACAGGCAGCCCUCUAUUGAUUUGUUCUGCUAAUGCAUCUAAUAGAAAUUACCAAAUGCUAUGAACUAGCAGACUCAGUUUUUGUUUCUAAGCAGAUAGAAAUUAACCAGCCAUGCCCCUCAAGAGAUCAAUAAGUAGUGCUAUAUCAUAUAUGGGUUGACUACAAAAACUGACUGUGUAGUCUGUCCAAUCCACUCAAGGAGUUCCUUUUUAUUUUAUUUUUCUUAUCAACAAGGCUAAAAAGGAUAUUUCAUAAGAUUCUUAUACUUAAAUGUUGUGUCAAAGUACAUUAUUGGAGCGUAUGACUUUCAGAAUGAUUAAUAUUUUCCUUCCUUAACUAUGCACCCAAAAUAAAUAAUUGCAUAAUUCAGCUCUGUGUUGCCUUUUCGUUUACUUUCUCUUCAACAAGAGUUCAUAGAGUACUAGUGUUCUAAUAUAGGACCCUUCUCCCAACCUAACACAAUCCGUCCAAGUUGAGGCCAGAUUUUAAGUAGAAGUUUCAUAGUAUGGCAAAUAAAGCUUUUUUUUCUUUUGUGUGUGUCUGUGUGUUAUGAACUCUGUUUUUAAGGUAUCCAACAGUGAACCAGUCAAAGCAUACACUGAAAAUAAAAUACCCAAAAAAAAAAUAAAAUGAAUUUCUCAAAAUUACCCAAAAUUACUCACAGCUUCUUUGAUAAAGACAGAAGAUGGAGCUCCUUUCCACUUGGGAUCAGAGUCAGGAAAUAUCUGCCCUAUAUCAGGAAGCCCUAAAGCUCCCAGUAUUGCAUCCACAACACAAUGAAGCAGCACAUCUCCUGCAACACGUUAAUCCCCAUAUAGUUAGCAUCAAAAGCAAAUUGUGGAUAAUUUAAACAGAUAAUACAACCAAGAGAUACAGAUUCGGAGAAAACAUAUACGGGGUUUAAAAAAAAGAACUUUGAUAAAUUAAAACUAUCCAAAUACAAGAAACUAAAAGAUAUAAAAAAUGGAUAUUAAAGUUGGGAAAAACAAAAAUAAAGCAAAAUUGGACGAUUGGAAUGUGAACAUACCAUCCGAAUGAGCCUCGCAGCCUCUAUCAUGAGGAAUAUCAAUCCCACCAAUGAUCAAAGGGUAGCCAGGCUCCAAACGAUGAAGGUCGAAGCCAUGGCCCACUCUAAACGGCAAAGACUUGGAAGGUUUCGUGGAGGUGGUGGGUCCAUCGACUGCAACCGAAGUAGCACCCGGUGAAAUUGAAGCUGUAAGAGUAAAAGCUGAAGAAGAUGAUGAUGCUGAUUGUAGGAUGUUAUUAUGAUGCCUGGCGGUUAUGAUACGAGGAUUAGGCAACAAAAUGGACUUGUUGGAGAUCGUAGUGGGGGUGGGUUUUGCUGGAAUUGGAGAACAACUGUAAAAGUGAGUGGCCAUAGCUGUUGAAAUCUUUGCCUUGGCAGAGAAAAGGCUCUGUUUCUUUGUGGAGUAGUUUCAGUUUCUUUGUUGACUCUGUUUUCGUGGGUUCCCUUCGUUUUUCCUUUUCCUUUUUUUUUUUUCUCUUUUUUGGUAUUUGUGGCAAUAAUUUGUUUCCUUUUUUUUUCCUUAAUUUUUAUUUUAAAGGUAGGUAUUUAAUUGCAGGAACCAAAUAAUAUCAUUCGUUGUCUACUUUCCAUUUGUCAACCGCUGGGUGCAACUCCGGUGAAUGGCCCAUUUCCAAUGUGUUUACCGAAAUUCAUUCAAGUGCAAACACAGCCACUGCAAUAUAUGAUUUUGUCCCACAUUCUCAAGUAAUUGUUAGGAAACGUUUUUUCAUCAGGAUAUUGCGUGUGGGCAAAUUGGUGCCAAACUCAAGACUUUGAGAGGCCUAAUGUUGCCAAAUUUGGGAGACCCUAGACAGAAAACGACCCUUAACUCCGUGAAACAUGAAUGGUCAUCAGAUCUUUAAGUCUUAAACCUCAUGGAAUAUUCUGUUAAGAAGUGAUGCAACACACUACCGUACCUCUACCUGUUGUUUUGAAUCUCAGUUGAUUCCCAAACUACUCUUAUCUUCUGUAACCCCACAGGGAAAACCUUCAAUUUAUGUAAUUGAAACAGGCAUAAACUAACUUCAUAAGCAACAGGAGCAUGGAUAUUAUAUUAAAAUAUGCAGCUCCUUGAGCCCAAGCAAUAUCUUCAAACCUGUAAUUACUUAGAGAUGCAACUGUGCACAUCAUAUAAAAUGAGCAUACAUGGAUUUAGCUUUUCAGCAAUUUAGCCACGCCACAUGGAAUGAAAUACCAAACGGAACAUGUAAAACUAAACAGAACACUCCUUGUUAUUGGGAUAACCCAGCUAUAAGUUUGAUUUCUACACACAAAAUGUACAUGUGUGGUGUCCCGUUUUACAACAACUGCCGCACAGUUUCUACAACACAUUUAUAUGAGAAUAUACAUUUACAUGAGCAUCAAAGAAACCCAAGAAAAUCUCAUCACGACUAUGAGGUAGAAGCCCUAGGUUGCUUGCAUCCAUGCUCUGGUAUUAGAUGUUCAGUGGCUGCUCUCUUUGGUCUCAACUGCAAUGAGAAAAGCAAAAAGAAACUAAAUGAACCCAGACACCCACUCUCAAGGUGCAUGCAUGUGUCCUUGAAUUUGUAACAGUGACUGAAAUUAUUUGAAUGCGGUGUUAUAACAUGAAAAAUCAUAAACAAGUUACUAACCUUCUCCUCAGCACGCUGAUAGAAAUUUCUUAUAAGUAUAUUUUUGGCCUCAGUAGUUAUAACUGUUGAAAGUGUUUGAGAGGUCAGUUACACAAAAAGAAAAUGUUCACAGGUCAAUUAAAAAAAUAAGGAUAAGAAAUCAAGAAUUUAAGCCAAUGAGCUGUGGCACUGCACCAGAAUGCAAUCUCAUUUAGUAGUGCCUUUGUGUUUGUAGCACAGGCAAUUUAGAACACGCAUACAACUUAACAAUUUCAUUCCAAUUGAUAAACUUCAAACAGCAAUUUCAAUCAAGUACGCAAUCAAUCACUGGUUUCCAAUUAGAAAUCUCCAUUCUUCGUCGAUAUCAAAAUGAAACUGAGAGAAGAUGAACAAUUCCAGAUGAGUACUCUACGACAUUUAGAUUACUGCAGAAGGAAACAAAGAACUAAAGAAACAAGGUAAAGCAAUUCCACCAUUUCAGAGACAGAUGACAAAAAAAAUGUAAGCAAGUAGCAGUGGCAGCAAGCAUAGAGUGCCAUGUAAAAAUCAAGUUCUCAGUCCAAUACCAAUUAUUUGAAGCCCAUUUGUCAAGGCAAUACCAUUUUUACAGAAAAAUGACAUCAUAUCCAGUUCCAAUUCAGACAUCUCCACAUAAUUUCCAGCACUUGCUGCUCUCAAACAGAAGUCAACAUUCAACAUCCUAGAAGGUACCUAGCCAAAUAAUUAUCACAGUAUAUGACAUGAAUUUUUAAAAUAUAUUAUCACCAUGUAGACAAAGUCUGAAAGAAUCAGCCAACCAAAGGUUAUCAUGUUACCAUUGCAGACAGUUUAUAAGGCCAAUAAUAUCUUAUAUUUCCUCGGGAAUAUUGUUUCACAAGUAAAAACAAGGAGAAAAAUAUCAGUUCAAUACCUUGGUCAGGUGGUGGAAGAGUCCGGCUAUGAGUAGGGCGGUAGGUGGCAGGUGUCAUUUUCUAGCCAAAAAGAGAAGAUUAAGUACAAAAGUUAAAGUGCAAUCAAUUCUUAACAUGACUGAAAAGUAAGGAGAAGCAUUUUAUGCUCCUAAAAUAUUCAAGCAAAGUAACAAACCAUACAAGUAAGUGUAAUUUUGUUAAAAGACCAACCUAUCAAUCUGAAAGCAAAAAGACAAGUGUAAUUUUGUUAAAAGACCAACCUAUCAAUCUGAAAGCAAAAAGACUAAUUUGUCAUAAAUUCUUCAUUUGAAAACAUAAAGGAGCUCCAUAUGAACUCCAUCCAUUAGCAUAGCAUCUCACAUGCUAAAAUAGCUAAAAAGGAUAGAAAGUCUGGUGAAAAAUGUUCUAUACCCUUUGGACAUUUCAACAACUCUUACUUAAUCGGAAACCUUAUAACAGUUAGGCAGGGAACCACUAUAAACUAUUGAAACAAAAAUAGAUACAUAAAUUCAUAUAAGCCUACAUGUAUGCAUGCUAUGAAAGGAAAUUGAUAUCCUGUAGUGCACCAUGUGCUAGAGGACAGCAAUUCAAAAUUCACCAUGCAGCUUCUUUACCAGGUGAAACCCUGCCUUACUGAACUCUUUUCGGCAAUUUUAUUACCCUAUACAAAUUCAAGAUCUAAACAAAACUAGAAUUAAGUGAGAAUUUCAAGAAAAUGAUCAGGAGGUAGACCAAGUAAAAGAAGAAGAUAAAGGAAAGAAAAAGGGUGAUCUAAUAUCUCUCGUUCCUUUUGGGCUUUCCCUUCACCUUCUCUCUUUUCUCCUGACAUUUCAAUAUUUUCAAGCGACUGCCCAAAUGUCAUCAACACAAUCAUUAUCUCAAUACGAAUCACCAGUAAAACGGUGCCCAAGUUAGAAUGCAAAAGCUCAAUUUCAUGCGUUCUGUCAAUAGCAUGUCCAUGUCAUGGACAGGAUUAAUUUUUUAUCAAGAAAACAGCAAAUUCUCAAACCAAUUCUCUCAAUACCCACAUAGAAACAAACUUUCAACUACCAAGUACACAGGAAGAUCUGAAAUAUAGAACUUCUUGAUCAUUGUUAAGAGCCAGUCUUAAGAACUUAAACUACCAAGUACACAGGAAGAUCUGAAAAGCUUCUAGAGCAUGAACUUAAAAUCUUGGUAGAUUUAGAAGCUGACAGUAGCAUGCAGUGGUCAAAAUCACAAGCUCAUGAAUAGUUACCCUACCAUUUUAAGGAAACUGCCAUUCCCAUACAAGAAAGCAUUUCCACGCUAAUGCUUGUGCUGUAUAAAGAUCUUUGUCAUUUUAGCAAACAGAUAAUAACAAGUCCUAUUUGCAUAACUUAGAUGCUUCACAUGGUAACAUCACCAUAUUACAUUCCAUUCAUUCAAAUUAAUAAACAUACUAGUGUUAAAUGUAUCUUGCAAUGCAAACAACAAAAGCACUAAACGUGUAAUAAUACCGGAGUAGAAAUUCCGAGAAUCAUUUAACCCCUAUAAAUACGAAAGCAAGAUAUUCAUUUGUAACCACAAACGAACUUUAUCCAAAAAGCUUCUGACGACUAACUGAUUAUAUGGACUACAGCAUUUUUUAAGGUCCAAAUUCAGAAAAGCGCUUUGAGAAAAGAAUCCACCAACAUCAUAUCUGGGUAAACCUUGAAACCUAAUCAUAAAAAUCUAACAGUUCUUCACUACUCAUCUAAAACCGCAUGUGGGUUUUAUUGCAGUAUCAGAACAGUUGAAACGAACAACUUAUUCAGAUCAUACCAGAAAAGAAUUCGUAUUUUCAUGUAUUUUUGUUAAUGGGGUUGGGUUUAAAAAGGAUUCUGGGAUACUUACAGAAGGAUUAGAAGGAUCGGAGGGACGAAGUUGGCUGAAGUUAUGGGGGUCAAACGACGGCAGGUCACCGAGCAUAGACCCCAUUGGGGAAAAAGAAUAUGCUGGUUUCUGCACCCAGAAAAUCUCCGGAGAGAGAUUGGGACAAUUGAGAAAAUGGGAGAGAAACCACAACAAUGCCUGCCCCGAUUCUAGACUCAGCCUUUUUCGUACUAGUGCUGGAUGAUUAAUCGGUAAAUUGAUGUUUAUAUAUAUAUAUAUAUGGCAAUAGCUUAAGCAUCCAUCCUAGGCUGUGGCCUGUUUUUGUCUGUCCCACUCCCCCUCCAUUGCCAAAAUAAAAUAGAGUAACAUAGUUUGUGUACAAGUAUACUUUUGUAUGCGUUUAUCUACCCAAUAAAUGAAAAACAAUAUAAUUAGUUAUAAUAAUAUUUACAAUAAGGUAAUUUAUUAGCUUAUCAUGUGAAUGGGAAAUGCCAUACAUGAGGCCACAUCAAAGAAUUAAAAACCGUCUUAAAAUAUAAUCAUUUGACCGAUUUUUUUAUAAAUAUAGCUUUUCAGUGAAUUUUUUUUUGAAGAUUAUUUUCGAAAAUACCUCUCAUACGUAAGGUGUUUUAUGAAAAUAAUUUUUUUUAUAAUUUUAACUACAUUUAGUCAAAAAAAAUUAAUUUUGAAUAAAAUUACCUUUAAUGAAACCAAUCCAUAUGUUUAUAUCUGCAUUUUAAAUCAACUCAUAUCCUUUGAACUUUUAUUGUUAGACCAUUCAUCUUUAAAGUAUUUUUUGUCAAAAAAAAAUUUAAGCAUUUUGAACAUUUUAGAGUAUUUUUUGAUAUAUAAAGAAAAAUCUUUGAGCGUUUUGAACAUUUUUAAGCAUUUUGUAAUAAUUUGUGAUAUAUAAAGAAAAACUUUUGAGCAUUAUUUAUCAAAUAAGCAUAUUCAUUGAUUAUAUUGUUAAAUAGAAUAUAGUGUUUUGUUUGAAGUUGUUGAUUUUGUUAAAUGUAAUUUAAUAAUUUUAGUAGUUUUUAGGCAUUGCGUAAUUAAUUUUUAAGCAUUAUGUGAUUAAUUUUUAAACAUUAUGUUAUUAAUUUUUAUACAUUUAGUGAUUAAUUUUUAGUUAUUACGUGUUGGUUGAUAUAGCAUAUGUGACAGGUUGAUAGACAUUGCAUGACUAGUUAGCAAGGUAUUGUGUAACUAGUUAGUAAGACAUUGCGUGACUAGUUUUUAAAUAUUGUGACUUAGGCAUAAUCUAAAAAUCAAUCACAUAAUAUCUAAAAAUCAUAAACGCAUUAAUUAAGUCACACAAUACCUAAAAACUAGUAUUGUAAUACUUAACAAUCAGUGACACAAAUGCCUAAAAACUAGUAAUGUAAUACUUAAUAACUAAUUAAUUUGUUUGCUCGCAGCUAGGUUUAAGUUACUGAAAUCAUACAGUUUUUUUAUUUACAAAUACGUAUAAUCAAUUUAAAUUUAUCAACUUUAGGGUUUUAUGAAUAAAUCAAUAAGCCAAAUAACCUAAAACACAUACUUUGAUGUCAUAUCUGCUCUUUGAAAUUGUGAGAAAAAUAUCGAUGGUGAGAUAGAUAAUAUUUGAUAAGAGAUAAAUUAUAUUUAAUUUUAAAAUUUUUAUCUAUAUGACUGGAUAGAGAAAAUCGAAAUCAUUUUAAUUUAUUUGAAAUUGUAUAAAGGACAUUAUUGUCAAGUCAUGUCAAAAACUGAUUAAAAAUAGUUAAAAUAAUAAUGAAGGAUAUUUUUUAAUUAGACUUAUGAAGAGAGUUAUUUUUCACAAUUUUUUUUUUUAUAAAUAUGACUUUUCAGUAUCUUAUUAAUACAAGGCAAUGUUAUUCAUUAUUACGCAUUAUUUUGAUAUAAGUAUAUACUAUUCUUAUUUCUUUAAAAAAAAUUGAUUUUAAUAAAGGAGCAUGAGAUAUGCAAUUGUACGGAAUAUUUGUUCUUUCGUUCAGUUGCCAAAUGACUUAAGGAAUAGACAUUCUCUGCAAUUUCUAUACCCAAAAUCACUCAAAAUCAAGAUUAGCUAAUCUCAACUCAUAUGGUAUUUGCUAUUGCAUGAGUGAGCCUCUAAAAUUAAUAAAACAAAAGAGCUCCUUAUAAGUGAAAAUCAAAAUAAAAUUUAAAUAAAAAGUUUAAGUUUUUAAUUAUAUAUUAUAAAUAUUAAUACUUUAAAUUUAAAAAAUAAUUAAAAUAAUUAAUAUUUAAUCAUAAUAAUAUUUAAAUUAUAAUAUAAAAUAUUAAUGAUUGCAUUAUAAAUAAUAUUUUGAUAUUUUAAUAUUUUAAUUAUCAAUUAUUAAUAUUUUAAACAAAUUAUAAAUUAUUAAUAUUUAAAAAAUAAAAAAAAAAUAGAUAAUCAUGUAUUAUAAUAAAAAAUAUUUUUAUCUUUUUAUCACUUAUUCUUUUAUUAUUUCAAAAUUAUUCUUAUCAACCAAACAUUUUAAUAAGUCAUAAUAGCAAUUAUUCCAUUCCAUCAAUCAAACUAUAUAACAACAUUUUCAUUUUAUUUCUACUUCAAUAUAAAUAAUUGGUGCAAAAGUACAAAGGAAAUAAUGCUUUUCAAAGUUUAAAAAUAUUCAAUUUUUAUUUUUGAAUAUUAGUAUAGUGUGGUAUAUAAAGUUCAAGAAAAUAAAUUCGAUUCUCUUAUUUGGUUAGCAUUUGUUACUUAUCAAACCUUAUAUUCAAUAAUUGGUCAUGAUGAUUUUGGUAAUUAUUAAACCAUUCAAAGUGGAGUGAUAAAUUUGAAUUUUAUAAAGUUCAAAUUUACUAUUUUAUUUAUGAUAAUAGAUCAAAAUUUUCACUUACUUUGGAUAAUUAUAAUUUUUCAGAAAAAAAUGAAAGAGUACGUUUAUGGCAUAAUAAAAUGUGGGAAUAAAAUUUCCAUAAUAUUACUUAAUAAAAUUUGAAAUACUGUUAUAAGAAGCCUCGUAUGAAUAAAAUAUUACAAAAAUCAUAUUCAUAAAAAAUUAACUAUUUGAUUCACGAUACACAUAAUGUGACAAUAACUAAUCAUUCAUUCUUUAAAAGAUUUUUAAUAGUCAAAAUCAAAUAUAAAUUAACAUUUUAUUCAUCUACUUUAAUUUGAAUGACUUAUUCAAUGAUUUUAUUAUCCAUAAUUAAAAUUACCUUACAAUAUCUUUCAUUCUAUAUCAUUAACAAAUCUCAAUAAACAUUUAAUAAUUUUACUCGAUAUGUAAAAACAGUUUCCAAAUUUAACCAAGAAAUCGCAUUUUCAAUUCUCAAGGUAAUUACAAUAAACUCCUCCCGCAAUGGAUUGAUUGCGUGAAGUUUAAUGAGCUUCGUCAAUGUUGAGCAUCACUCAAUCUUGAGGCGGCGGCGGUGCACUUCGGGACACCACAAAUGUUGGUGUCCAUAGAGAGUACUCAGUUUUUAUGACGUUCAAGAUUCUUUGAAUAAGGAUUUAUUGACACCAGCAUCCGCAGGAACAAAACACAACCAAAAAUGAAUAAUAUUCUCGAGAUAUUUUUUAAUUAGAAAGAUAUUUGAGGAAGUAAGUACGUAACGAUGAUUAUAUAAAAAAUUAGUUUAUUUUCUUAUAAAAUAUGAUUUUAUUAAUUUUUGAUAUUUUUUACUUAAAUUAUAACAUUUAAUGAUAAAAUUACAUCCAUUCAAAAAUAAUCAAUGAAUUUGAUUUAUCACUUAAAAUAAAGUGGUAAAUUAAACCUUAUCCCUAUUUUUAUUUUUGGUACAUCAAAUGGUGCACAGAUACUCAUAAUAUUUAUUCUUCUUUCAAUGUACAAAUUUUACUAUUGGUUCUAAAUUAGAAAAAAAAAAAAUCGUUAAUGACACUGUAAAAUUUCAAAGUGAUUUUAAGUUAUUUGAUAAUGAAAUCCAUCAUUCUAAGUAAGUUAUUUAUUUAUUUCAUUAGUUUUCAACAAAGUUUCAUUAAGUUAUUAACCUCAACACUGUUUUUUCAUUAUUAGUACAAUAAGUGGUAAAUUAUCUUUCAUUGUCAUUGACAUUCUUAUCUAUCAAGAAGCAUCAUUAAUUUUUGUAACAUUAUCAAAUUCAUAAAAAAUAAAAUUAAAAAUUAGUGCAUGAGAAAAGAAUAAGAAAAAAUGAUUUCUUUUUAAAAAAAUUACCAUUUCAAAAAUAAUUUACCUAUAGCUUUACUGAAAGUGUUUAUUGAUCAAAUUAAACUUAAUUGGUGCUUUUAAAAUCUAAGCUCGAGCUUCACUUGAUUUGAUCUGUACAUUCAAUCGUUUUGUUAUUUAAAAUUUUAUAUUAAUAUUUUAAAAUCGAUUUUUAAAUUAAAAUUAAAUAAUUAUAUAAUAUUCUUAAAGGUUGAGCAGAAUUGGGCUUGAAAAAUGCUGUCCAGAACCCGACCCACAGACAAAUCCAGUGUCCCACAGCAAGUGCUGAAGAAACGACGUCGUCCCUUAAUCCUGUGGGCGCUAGGUAAAAUACCAACCGUUGGGCAGCAAAUGCCAAAGGGGAACCAGAAUAAGCACUUACAACCAUCAUAUCAGCCACGCAUCAAAACUGAUUAAAAGGGACCCACAUCAAACGUACAACCCAUUCUCCAAACGUACAGCCCUAUUCACAUCUUAAUUAAAGAUUACCGCUAGAUCACCGCGCGUCCACCGAACUCCAAAAGUCAUCGAAGCACCGCAUAGCCCCUCGCUUUCCACUUAGGUUUUUCUUAGAACUCCUCUAACACCUUUUCCUUUCUACUUCUCAACCUUCCAAAGCACGGCUCAGUGUCGUCGGCGGCGGCGUAGCAGAGAGGAAGAAAAAGAAGAAGCAAACAUGGCUGCACCCGAAGCUCCUCUCUGCUACGUCGGAAUCGCUCGCCAAUCUGCGGCUUUUCGCCUCAUGAAGCAAAUGGUACGUGUUCAUAGAUAUGUAUGUCCGUGUGUAUAUUUGUAUCUAUACGCGUAUUUUGUAAUUCGUAAUUUUUGUUGUUUGGAUGGCACGGUUAGGGAUGGGAAGAAGGAGAAGGGCUUGGCAAAGAUAAGCAAGGGAUCAAAGGUUACGUCAGAGUUAAAAACAAACAAGACACUACUGGUACGUUUCUCUUUGCCUUUUCUUUUGCUUAGGUUUUUUGAUCUGUUUAGUGUAUAUAGAUAUUGAAUUACUUUCUGGAGAAUGAGAGUAGGAGGAAAUGAUGAAAAGUAUUGUACAAAUGGAUUUUUAUUUUUGAAAAAUAUGGAGCAGGUGUUGGAUUGGAUAAGCCGAAUCCGUGGGCCUUUGAUACAGCUCAAUUUGAUAGUAUUCUCAAAAGAUUGAAAGUGGUGCGUAUUUCAUUCUUAAUUUUGCUGACUUUGAUUGGCUAGACAGUGUUCGAUUUGAUGUGAAGCUCAUCCUUUUUUGGUUUUCCUCUUUUCUCUUUUGGAUUUUUAGCAGCAAGCUGCGCCAGCCAAUGAUGAAGGUAUGAUUGAUGCCAAAGAGAAAUUCUUCUCAUAUUGCGUAUACUAGUAGAUUAUUGAUUGACAAGUAACUUGAAUUUACUCUUAAAAGCAUGAAAAAUUGCAUUGUGUUACCAUUAUUCUACUUUGUGACUGAAGUUUCUCAAAGUUUUGUUGCUAAUACUUCAAAAAAAAAGUAACCUGAAUUUACUUAGCAGUUGACAAGAAUGAAAAUCAAGUAGAAACCAAGACCAAUGUGUCUAAUGAUGCUGAAGAACAAGUUGUCAAGACUACCCGACCACAGGGAAGGUUGGUGCAUUUAUUUCAUGUGUGCUUGUAAUUGCAUUUUUAGUGAUAGGAGAUUAUUGCCAAUUAUUAAGUUAAUAUUGGAUUUCAUUUGUUCUUGUUUUUACUCUGUUUGGUUCCUUAGAUAUAAGAAAAGAGAGAGAGGGAAGCUUGUUCAUGCAUAUUCUUCAAAGGAUCUUGAAGGAAUACUUGUAAGUUCUAAAACUUCAGUAUGUCUUAUCACCUUUGUUUUCUUCAAAGUUAUUUAGACUGUUAAAAGUACUUGUUUGACACUGUGAUAAUGAUUUCCUUUUUAUUCAUAUUUCAGUAUGUGAUGUUUGUUGGCCCCUAGUGUCCCUUUCAAGAUACAAAAUAAUUCUAUAUAACAUCAGAUCAGACUGUAAAAUGAUCUGUGUUUGGUUCCAAAUUAUUCAAAUUUAAUGUGUUAAUAUGAUCCAAUUUACUAUCAACAAGAUUUUCAUGGUGUAGAAAACCAUGAGAGCUCAAGGAAAAAGCAAUUCUGUAAUAUCUGCGUCUUCUUGUGUGUGGUAAAAAGUUUAAAUGGCACUUUAAUUGUAGAUGCUUGUUCGAUUUUCUCAUUGUUUCAUAUUAGCAUUAGGGUGAUGUGGUGUUACCUUCACCCUUGUCUGAACUUUUGGAACAAAUUCCAGAUGUCUCUACUUGAGUUGGAAAGGUGGACAGACAAAGCAACUUUGAGAUUUGAGUUAGAAAGGCGGAAAAUGAAAUCAAUUUUGAAACAUGAUUCAAUAAUAAAAUAGUUUGUAUAUUUUGGUUAAAUGCUAAAUGAUCUUAGAACUCCAUAAGGAAAUUGCAAUAGUCAUUACAAAAUAGUUUCUAUGUUUUGUUUGAUAGAAUUGUCUAGUCCUCUAUUUGAAAAAUCUUUUGCCGUUGUUAUUGCUAUUAGCAUUUGAUUUCAUGCAUCCUUUACAUUUAGAAUUUUUGGUUUAAUCAAUCAAUGUAUGUUUACCUGUGCAUGCUUUGCAAUAGGUCAAAAAGGUUGAGGAGUCACCACAGGCUAAUCCUGAUGUGGGUGGAGAAAUGGAAUUGAUAGAGACAACUGAAAGUCAGGAUCCUCCUACUGAAGGUAAUACUCGGUGUAGAUUCUUGUAGCAAGGUGUUUUUUCCAUUGCAUUUUGUUCUGGAAUUUUUAUGUAGAGUUGUUAUCAGGCUGUUAUGUUGAAGAUGGAUAGUCAGACUAGAAAUAAAUUUGGAUUUCUUUUUUCCUCAGAGUAUAUUUAUGAUAUACCUGAAGACCUGUUGUAGUCUUUUGCUGGCGAAUGAUAUUCUUGGCCUAUUUCUGUAACGUGCUUGCUUUUUGCUGGUUGCAGCUGUUGGUUGUUUCUGAGAUAACUUGGUUCUUUGUCACAGGACAUAAAGCUGAAAGUGUUUCUCCAGAAUGGUGGGGCCAUAAAUAUGGAUUUGUCUCUGGAGGCUUUCUGGGAGAAUGUACCAGAAAGAAAGCAAUCAAAACUGGAGAGUCUAAAAAUUCAACUGAGAGAACUGUAUUUUUUGAAGAUGACCAAGAGAAUCUCUACAAGCUUGUGCAAGUAUGUGUCUUCACCAUUUCAAAAUUUGUUGCAUGAAAACUGUGGUAAAGUUAUUUGUUUAAUGAAGAGAAUAAUUAUAAUUUUCCUUUUAAGUUAACCUGUAAUCUGAAGAUGAAACAAUAACAACUCUCGUGAAUUAGUGGCAUUUUGAUUGAUGAUUCCGCAUGCUGUUAUUGUAAGUGAAUGUAGUAGUAUGGUGGGACUAUUGAGAUUAUAUUAAAGGAGCAAGACAGUGCUGGUUUAGGUAAGUAAUAUAUGCCUUUUAUUCCAAAAAAUUUUAGGAUAAAGCCACAACUGGAAAGCAAGGUCUGGGGAUUAAAGAUCGACCAAAGAAAAUUGCUGGAGUUCGCUUUCAGGGGAAAAAGACGUCAUUUAGUGAUAGCGAUGAUGAGGAUUCCGAUGAUGUUGGUCCCCUAGCAAAACGAAUGUGUGAUAAUGCACAAGAAAUGGAGAAAGCUGAUGAACCAAAAUUGAAGUUGAAAAAGCUGUGUAAACAGCUUCUUCGUCAGGUAAUUGAUUUAAAAUGCAAGCUGUAUUAAAUUGUGCUGCAACUCUUUCUCUAAUUAAUAGCAAUCUGCCUAUUUCAGGUACCUGGAGAGUCAUUAAAACUAAAACAGCUGAAAGUUCUUAUUGAUGAACGGUCAUCCUCAGUUUUUUCCAACUUUUCUUCAAAGAAAGAUGCCCUUGCCUACUUGAAACGAAAGGUGUUCUACUUUCUGGUUUUGUUAAUGCUUGUCCAAGUUGCUUUUCUUUAUGCUAGAAGAUAUCAGCUUCUUCCCUUCAUUUCUUUGUGAUUUUGUAAUGGAUUCUGAACUCUGGCAUUUCUUGUUUUUGGCCACAGCUUGCAGGCAGUAGUAAGUUUUCCAUGGAGGGAAAGCGAGUGAGUCUAACAUCAACAAGCAGUUAAAUUUUGAUACAAUUCUGAGAUAUACCUGUACCGGCCUGUAUAUGCUAAGACUUGAAUUAGUAGCAUAUUUAUAUAAGUCUUGGUUCACGUCUCUUUUGUAAUAGUAAUUAUUAAUUUCUUUUUUUUUUUCCGAUAUUUAUGCUUCAUUUGUAUUAUUUUAUCAGCAUGAAAUUCAUUGCUGAUAUGAAACUUGUCUGAAGGACAAGAGUUGCAGGCUGGCAAUGCUGAAAUUUAUCCUUCAAGGAGUAUUCAUUAUUCAAGAAAAAUUUUCAUAAAAUUGGCUGAGGUAUGGGAUGUUUGUACCCUAUAUCUCACCUUACAUGCGCCUUUUUGUCUUCAAUGGAGAAAGAAACAAAAGAAUUGUUCUGUUCUCGUUAAUCUGCGUUUACUUGGCCAAAUUGUCGACGUUAAACUGCUAGUAUGAUUAAAUAUUGGGGGACAACGAUCCAUGAGAGGCCCCUGAUGCUUUUAAGGACUAGCUUUGCCAUAGCUGUGUUCUCUUCGAGCCGUUUAUAUUUUGUAACCCUGCUAGCUCUACUACCCCACCAUACUUCCGUUGUAGUUAAAUCUUUCCUGUUUUUAUCAAUGGCGUAGUUCUGAUGCAUGAUUCUCUGUCGGACGAUGCUGAUUAUUGAAGUAUUGUUAGAUGUAACUGGCUUGGACAAUUUUCUUUGCUAUAAACUUCCCCAGAUAAUCAUAUCCAUGAAAGUAUAGAGCUUCGAUCUCCGCUCUCUUACCACUCUGCAUCAUCAAUGCCAACUCUUCCCUGUAAUUCUCCUGUUGAACACCAUUUAAAGACUAUUAAAACCAUAUGGAGAGAGUAGUUUUUACGUUUAUCUUACCAGAGAUGCACCUGCAAGAUUACUGAGGAAAUCAAGCCUUUAGCGAUUUGCAGGUCCCGUGGCUUUAGUGGAGCUAAAGAUUGUUCAGGUAUCAGUUGUAGAUCAUCGCCUCGCAGUCCCAGCCACUUCACGUUGCAAGCUGAAUGAUGCAGACAUAGAAAAUAAUUUCAUUUUACAUGUUAAACACAAAGAAAACUGGUGCAAUUCGGCGUGACUUGAAGAAAGUACCAUAUCUGUAUGCCUCUAGACCCAUCCCUAUGCUUCCAAACUUGUAGGUACAUAAUAUAGCUAAUCCGGCCGGAUUCCUAGAAAGGUUCAAGUUUGAAGUUUAUCAGUUUCAAGGGUGCACAGCUACUUGCUAUAAUCAAGUUGAAGAAUCCAAAAUGGCUUUAUGGUAUACCCCUAUUUGCUAUAAUCAAGGGUGCACAGCUAUUUGUGCUUAUUUUGCAAAGGUAUACCCCUGGUCUUUGUAAGGGGCAUAGCCUUGCAAAAUGGCUAUGUGGUGGGGAGCUCAGGCCCACCUUGUUUCUAUCUAUAAUAUUGAAAUUUCAAAAACAAAAGUUGAAGAAUCCAAAACAGUCAUCUCAAACAAAAGAAAGUUGUAUGGAACCGGUUUACUGUCUUUUAAUUGUAUUACUUGGGAAAAAAGAAGUCCACGGUAUUUGCAGGAGAUCCAUACCAGUCAACCAGUGCUAAAAUUGGCAAAUCUGGAAAAGCCCUACUCAUUCGGUGAAGAAGAAAUCUAACAGGCAUUCAAGGUUGUGAUUACAAUGAAGCAUCAAAAUGACAACAGCGUUAAGUAGAAAAUGGUUAAAGCAAAUUCAUGAAACUGUUGAGUUUAAACAGUAUCAAUACCUUGUGGCUAUAUCUGGAUAACCUUUUGCUGUGAGAAGAAUGCUUGGAAUCUGGUUAAAUACAUGAUCUUCUGCCAAUCUCUGAAAUACUGCAUGCUGCAAAACAGACCAUGCAAGAAUGUUUAUUAAUUGGAUUUGGGAAUAGUAAAUUCAUAGUGAUGUCUGAUUGGAUUUCAAUGAAGAAAGCACCUUCUCAACCACAAUAAUAUAGCGGGCAUCUGUCUUCAUAAUCAAGCUGUCUAACAAUUUCAGAUCACCAGAAAUUGCAUAUCCGGAAGACCCACAAGCAGAACAAUCCACAACCUCUUGGUUUGGCUCCUGUCAUAUGGUCCAUAAGAGAAAAAAACAAGGAAUCACCCAUAUUUGCAUAUACAUUGUUACAUUAGAAAACAAAAGAAGCAAGUGGCCAGUAUAUUCUUUUCCCGCACAAGAUUAUGAUAUUUGCAAUGCAAUAAUACAUAACGGGAAAGAGAAUUGAAAUGCCUGAAACAAGAUACGCCCAGCAACAAGUCCUUUGCUAGAUGCCAUGAUUCCAAGACUGUUUCGGCUGCAUCGAAGCAAUGCUACAACAUCUGUGACACAAAGUUCUCAAUUAUUUCAACCAUUAACAUGACAUUAAAAAACCCUUACAUCCAACACGAAAAUCUUCUAAAAUCAUCAGAAUCAAUUAUAAACAAGUGAGAACUCAGAGAAUUGACCUUGGAUUGUCCUGUUGACCUGCAAUUGAGAUGAGAAGUAAUCUGGUGAAUCACAGAGCAGCUUGUAAAAGAGCUCCCUCUGUGUAACUAUCUUCUCUUCAAUCAGAAUUUCAAAGCACAUCUCCAUAACCUUCCACACUUCAUUUUUAGUAGGAAUAAAGAUCGAGAACCAAUUUAAUUUAAGAACAAAGGCAAAAAAAUGGGUAAAAAUUAAAUCCAUUACAAACGAAAAUACCCCUAAUAAAGGCCUUAGCUGCGUUGGCUCUCAUCAAUGAUCUUUGACAAAAGGAGUGGGACAGAAAAAGCCAAGAAACCUCGGUGAAGAGCCCUUCACGCACUCUGCUAUUACUGGACUUCCUAUUGAUCUAUAUCAGUAAUUGAAAAAAGAAGAAGAAGAAAGCAACUCAAAAAAUAUUUCCUCAAUUUUCUGAGCAAUCAAACAAAAAAAAAUGUUUCGUUACUAGAGGGAGAUUGGAGAUUGCGGGAUCAGGAGACUUCAAGAUCUUGAGGAAAUUGAGGACGGCUACUUGGAUUCUGGCUCGAACCUGAAAGAGAGAUUUAGAUGUUUUGAGACAAACGGAAGAGGAUCAAACAAUGACUGAUGGAUAAUGAUGAAGACGAUUACCUCGUGAGGAGGGAGGACGUCGGCGUAGCAGAGCUGUUGAUCGGAGAAGAAUUUCAUCGAAGAUUUGCGGAGAUCGUCCAUUGUUUCGUUGGUUCUGAGGAAGUGGCGCGAAAUGAGAUUGAAGUUUUGAAUUGCGGUGAGCUAUGCUUUACCCGUCUGCAUAAGAUCGGGCUCGAUGGGCUUCCAUUCUUGUCCUUUUUGAGCCACAAAGGCUUCAUAUAUUAGCAUUCAGGGUUUAUUCCCUUUGGGCUGACGGGGUUAACUGGGCUUCGUCCUCACCAUCGCCUUUAAAUCAAAUAUUUUUUUGUUUAAAAUAAAAAGUUCUUGAAUUAUUUUUAAAAAAUUUAAAUAAUUUUUUAUUUUUUUAUAAUAUUAAAUUAAGUCUAUAUAUUUUUAUUUUAGAUAAAUGAAUUUUUAUUACUAGUAGUUGAUCUAAUCCAAAUGCUACAUAUCAUUUCAUAUCGCUCGACGUUAAUUAAAAAAAUAAAAAUAUCACAUGAGUAUAUUAUCAUAUCAUAUUAUUUUUUAUUAUAACAUAUUAACAUAUCAUAUGUUAUAAAAUAAUAAGUAAUAUUUUGAUAAUUUAACUAUUAAUUAUAAAAGUUUAUUUAGUUUAAUAUAAAAAUAUAAAAACUUAUUUAACUUUGAAUAAAAGUACAAAAAUUCUAUCAAAUGUACAUAAUAAUAAUAAAAAAAACUUAUUUAAAUUUUUUAAAAUAUUAUAUCCUAAAAACUAUUACUACUAGUAUUAUUGAAAAUAACAGCAUUAUGUUGCGAUACAUAUAAGUUUGUUCGGAUUCAUUAAAUGCCACCAGACAGAAAAAUAAUUUCCCAAUUAGGAAUUUAUAUUUUAACGAGCACUUGAUGCGUGCAGCGUGGGCCGGAACAGGGGGAGAAGAACUGCAAAUGUGUUGAAAAUUUGGUCAAAGUCUCAGUUGCUGAAAGAGUCAAAUAUAUACGUCAUUACAGAAAAAAGAAACCAAGACAAGGGGUUACUAUUUUCAAAAAUUAUCGCAAUUGUUUAUUACGUUAUUUCCUUUCAAACGUCGGUUGGCAACUUGAUUUAUGUCCUUUUUUGUUUCUCUCAAACUGGGCCGGUGACAGGGAAAAAAAAUCUAAGUCAAUUAUUUUUAUAUUAUAUACCUAGUUGUCGUAGCAGAAGGAAUAUAGCCAGCAGGAAAUGUUGAACGAAACCAGACCAAGACUUUGAGAAAUCUGGUUUCCUGGAUUUCAGUUAGUUUUUUCCCAAUUGCAAGAAAUUUCCCCUUCCUUUCCGCGUGCUGCAGCACUCCAAGACCAAAUCAAAGAGCUUUCGAUAUGUUUCGCUUUUUUCAAACGUUUCUAGCUUGUAGCUUCCUAUAUGGUCACUAGGAAAAUGAUGUAGGAUGGCCAAAUGGGAGGAUGAAGUUAUUGACAAAAGUGACCAAGAAAAUAUUCUCAUGGGUACUAGUAGUAGUAGUAGUAGCAGUGGCCGUCUUUUGUGGUCCAAAAUGCUCCAUUUCUUUCGAGUUUUCCCUCAGUCAACGUAAUGAUAUGUUUCUCUUUUUUUUUUUGGGUCUUCUUCAAUAGAUAUCAUAGCCCAAGACCCAUAAGCCAUACCCUCAACCUGCUGGGCUCAAGCCUAUGCGCAUGAUCUUUUGCAGGAUGCAAACGGAGUAUUGAUGACAGAACUGUCUUGCUUUUUGCAAGUUGCAGACCGCUACUGGUCAUAUAUUUCCAUAGUUUCUUCCUUGACUUUGAGUUUUUUCCGUGUUUGGUCCCAGUUUUGAAUCCUUUAGCAAUUGUUUAGUCGAUCAAAGAACUGGCAGGAUAAGCCGAUGAACCCUAAACAGGACCUCCAUGGAAUGAGAGAUGUUACCCUUAAAAGUUCAAAGACAAACCUAUGGUUUCAUAUGCAUAUGAGAAUAGGGACCAACCUUGCCCUAUAUGCAAACUGGCAAUAUAUGGGGUAUGUGAUAUAGCCAUGCUCUAUUGCUUUCUAUCAAAUUCGAGCAUAUUAACUCCUAGAUUUCCAUGGUUGGAUAUCUAUAUAUAUUGCUUUCGUAAUAUUUCUGGAAAAGUAAUUUGCAGCUCAAAUAUGAAAUAUUUCUGCCUAAAAUUUUAUCUUCAACCAUGCAUCUUAUUAUCAGAUAAGCUCAAGUUGCUCGAAAGGAAAGUGACAAGUUUAUCAUGGUUCAUGCUAAGUGCAUUAACAUAAACCAUUUAUAGUACAUUCACAAUUUCCGAAUAGGGUUUUGUCACAGAUGACUGCUUUGGCAGUUAGCAGCGGUAUUUUUGUUGAAAUAACCUUAAUUCCAUAGUAUUUAUUCAGCUCAUCAAUGGAGUGAAAUAGUAUUCAACAGAUCAUUUGAGUUAAAUUCUUUUCUCACCGACGCCAGUAUUACCUAUUGAAGUCGCCGAACGCCAAGAUUGGACAACUAAGCAUUCCAGAAGAGAACAAAACUGUAUGAAAUGCUGAAUAUAUAGAUAUAUACAGGCUGCUUCCACUGUUAUAACGAUUUGACUUUUCAAAAUGUCAACUCAGUGGAAAUGCAAAACCAGACUUACACAAUUGCUGCUUAAUUUCGAGUAAAAACAAUCCCCUCUUUCUUACCAGUAUAUAGACGAAGGACUUGUUUUGAGAUCUUCCUCUCAUCACAAUCCUCCGACAAAUCUCCAAAGUCAGCGCCACUCUUUGCUCCCUUUAUCUCCUAGUUUUCCCUCUUAGAUCUCUCCUUUUUCUUUUUCAUAGAAUAUAAACAAAGAGUUGUUGAUGAGUGAAUUCUACAUGGAGAACUGGGAUUUGCGAGCGGUAGUUGGAGGAAGCAGCAAUGGUGCCUGCAUCCCCGAUAUGGAAAACCCACCAUUCUGUUUUGAUCCUUGGAGUUUUCAACAGGAAGAUCUAAUUAUGAGUUUCCCAGAUGUUUUUGAAACGAACCCUAAAGUUUUAGAUGAGUUGGAGGAACUUUACAAGCCUUUCUAUCCCGAGUUCAAUCCGUUUUCCACACAAACCAUUAUUACCAGUUCCCUCCCAGUCCCUCAAGAUGAGGAGAAACCAGAAAGCCAAAAGAAGCAGCAGCCUGUUUCUCAGUCUGCUGUUUCUGGUACAAAUAAAGAUUCUACUCAAACAGCCAAACCUAAAAGAUCCAGGUUUGUAAACUCAUUGCUUAUGUUUUAAUAGUCAGAAUUUGAUUACUGGAAUUCCAAAAUCCAUUGAUGUUGAAAAAUUCACAUAUUUCAGCCGGAAGAAUCAGCAAAAUAGAGUGGUGAAGCACGUAACUGCUGAUGGUCUUUCGUCAGAUAUAUGGGCUUGGCGAAAAUAUGGACAGAAACCCAUCAAAGGGUCACCAUAUCCAAGGUAAAAACCUCUCUUCGUUAUCAUUUUUUUUCUGGGUAUCAAGCUAGAGAGUUUGAAGGCUUACUUAAUUAUUUUCAUGUCAUUGAAUAAACUUGUUUGCUUGGUUGAAUUGAAAAACAGGAGCUAUUAUAGGUGCAGCAGCUCAAAAGGAUGUUUGGCGAGAAAGCAAGUAGAGCGUAGCUGUUCGGAUCCUCGAAUCUUUAUCAUAACCUACACCGCUGAGCACAGCCAUGGCCAUCCAACUCGCCGAAGCUCGCUUGCAGGAAGCACUCGCAGCAAGUCAUCUUCAACAUCUAAAAGUCUUGUCAACAAUAAUGAACCCCGUGAGGCAGCAGAAACGGUUCUUUCUCCAACAACCAUGAAAGAUGAGUCUGUGCAACAAGAUUGGAGUAUGAAGGUGGAGGAACAAAUGCUUGAAGAUGGUCAUGGGGACAAAAUUCUCACCCCAGACAUAAUGUUGAGUGACGAAUUAGAUCAAAGCUUAGACAACUUUGAAGGUCUCUUUCUAGACCAAUUUCCCGAUUGGUCUCAUGAACUAUGGUCCAUGAAUGAAUCUGCAACCUUAACUGGUGGUUGCUGGACUUAGUCUUUAGCCUCUUAUGUACUUAGCUAGGCCAGGCACAAGCCGUGUAUAAACCGAAAUUGCAGUUCUCCAUCGGUUUUGUUUUAUUUCUUUUUGCUCUUUCAGUCUCUGUAAUCCAUCUUCUUACAAGAAUAUCAUAAUUAUAAACAAGAAAAAUUAUUUAUGUAUACAUAUAUAUAUAUAUAUAAAUCGGUGGAAGUAUAUUGUUGACAAUAAAUAAAUUAAUGGAGUUAAUUACAACGAAAAACCAACCCAAGCAACCAUUUAACUACUUGUAUUUGAACUUGUUGUUUCUAACUUGUAAGGUUUGAUUUAAAUAUCAAUUUUCGUUCUUAUAUUUCAUAAAUUAAUUACCAAUUACGUCUAAAAGUUUAAUUUGCAUUGAUUAAAUCUUUAGUUACCCACAUCAUCAGCUAGACAGCUACUUCAGUAUAAAACGAAAUAAAUAUAUAUCCCUCCACUUUUUUUUUUAUGGUUUAUUAUAUGAAUAUUCAAUAACUAAGUGUUGUUGAAAUAUUAAAUAUUCAGGAACAUAACAUCAAAUAUUUAUAUAUACUUUUUUAUAAUUUCAAUUUGUAAAAUCAAUGACCUUAAAAUAUAUAAUUUUUUUUUUUAAACUUCACACACACAUAUAUAAAUAUAUUAUUUAAUAACCUUAGAUAUACUAUGUUAGUAACUUUCUAUAUAUUAUAUAGUUACCUUUCGAUACUUUAUGAAUAAUUUUAAUAAAUAUUCAAUAACGGUACUAAAUAUCAAGUGAUGUAUAACUUUUUUUUAAUAAUCUCGAUAUGUAAAAAUUAAUAACCUUAAAAUACAUAAUUAUUUUUUUAACUUUCAUCUAUCAAACAUAUUUUUCAAGAACUUUCAUGGAUAUUCGAUAACGUAAAGUUACUAAAAUAUUUAAUUUUUAGGAAUAUUCAGCAACAUAGGGUUACUAAAAUAUCAUCUACUUAGUUAUUAGAACACCAUAUAGGUUUAUAACUUUUCCAAUACCUUUAAUCUUUCAUGAUCUUCAUCUAUUAUUUAGUAAUUACUAUAUUAGAUGUAUUUUGUUGGUAAUUUUCAUAGAUAUUUGGUAACUUCGGUUAUCAAAAAAAUAAAUAUAAAGUGAUUAAACUAUAAAACAGCCUUAUAGUCUUUUUAAUAUGAAACACCUUGAUAUAAAGUGGUUGAUAUAUAGAACCAAAUAUGUGGAAGAUGGUAUAAUCUAGUCAAACAACAGUAAAUGUAUAGUAAAUGUUGAAUGUUAAUAAUCAAUAUUUUAUUUUUAAAUUUUUAAUAAAAACAUUAUAACAAAAAAUAUCAAUAUUUUUUUAAAAAAAUAAUUUUUUUUUUCUAAAAGUUAAUUUUCGGGAAACAAACACAGCUUUUAUUGUCAUUUUAAUACUAUUUAUCCAAUUUAGCUCAAGCCAACUUGCAUUUCUUUGGAAAUUAGGUGCGAAUCCACCUAACUGUAUUGGAAAACGACGGUCAAAUAUAUUAAUACUAAUAUUAGUAGUAAAAAAACUAUUUCUAAACCUCAAGCAUGCUUUUAUUAUGUCAUCCACAGUUUAUAAUUAUAUAUUCUAUGAUCCUAUCAUUGGAAUAGUGGAUAUGAUUGCUUUAUAAUGAAGUUAUAUUCUGCUACUGAGCAACUUUCCGUACAGAAGAAAACUGGAAAAUCUCACUUGCGUGUACAUAUAUGUGAAGUAUUAUACAAUCGUUUAAGAUAAAUUGUUUAAGAUCUUUAAUAAAUGAUGAUAUUCUGGCAUUAUCCAUGCAAGUAGUUUUAUGAUUUGAUUUGUCAGAAUUCAAGUUCUUCAGGCUUUGGCUAUUGAUCAUCAUCGGAUACAUCUGGCUUUGACUCUUCGAUUUGUUGCUUAAGCUUCGGGUUGAACCAGUCAAAAGAGGACCAGAGAGAUGCAGCAUAUAUACUUAAUAAUACUUUUAUCCUUUAUUAAAUAUUUUACAACCAUGUAGAUGGGGUAUAGAUAUUCCCUGGAAGUUUUAAAUUGGAUGCAGUGCUGGUGAAUUACAUAGAGUCAAUCGUACUUAUGGUUCCAUUAAUCUGCAGCAGUUGCAGAGGCUGCUGCUUGCUUUCAUCAAGGAAAGCAGCCACUGCGCCCACAAAAGCUGCAUUAAUGUAAGUUGUGGGUUCGGCAUGAGAGUAAUCUGAUCUUCGGUCAUUGUAAUGGUCAUUUGAAUCAGGACCUCCAACGAUGGCUCCAACAUGUUGAUUUGGAUUUGGACUGUCAGAAGAAUAAUAACUCGAGUAGCCAUCAUUACAGCCCACCUUGCUCGGGCGAAUGUGGAUAGAAGGGAUGGAUGCGCCUCUAUGGUGAAGCUGCAUCGGAUAUUUGCUUCCGAAUCCAACCAUGUAUGACAUAUUCAUGGGGUUGUUUCCCAGGAUGUAAUUCACCUGCAUCAAUAAAUUAAUGAAACCCAUUCUGGGUUUGAUGUUAUUUGUCUUGCAUUAAUUUAGAUCAUAAAUAUACCUGUAAUUUUACAAAUUCUCUGAUUUGGGAAGCAGAGAAAUGGGCAGAGCCACAUUGGAUUCCAUCGAUUUGAGACGCCUUUAAGGUUUUCACGUAGAUAGAUAGCAGCAUGCAGGAGCUUGUAACAUAUUGUAGAUUAGCACUAUCUCUUAUGUACAAAAGCCCACCUGAAAACAAACCAGAAAAUCUGUUAAGCUCUGUGAGAACCAUACCCUUCAAAUGCAUUGUGCAGAAAACUUAGUAAUUUAGUUAUUCAUACCAGAAGUUGUUUUAAUCUGUAAAGAGCUACUCCCUGGCAUCAGGGCACAUAUAAAUGAUUCCACAUCAGUCUUAUAUUUAGACAAAUCCUUCUUCCCACCGUGGAAUUCCUGAACUAAAUUCUGUUAAAAUCUUUAUAAAUAGGAGACAUAGGAUUGUACAGUGUUUUUGUUUUUGCUUUUUUUUUUCACUAUACCUUUGCUAGUAAUGCCUGAGCUCCAGCAAAUUUGUUGUCCCAACUAAACUCUGAUACCUGCUGACUCCAUCCUUGGUUGCUCAAAACAUAGCUAAAGUACUUGUUAUCUGCACUUGCCUUGUAUAGCCAAGCUGCAGACCAUAAUAAUUCGUCCUGACGAAAAUUCGGAAUGGGUAAGCUCAAAUCGAACUAAAGUGAUGACUAACAUACUUAUCAACAUAUCUACCUGAAGCUUAAUGUUUUACCUGAUAUCCUGAGAAAGAGCAGUAGAAAGGGCAAGAAUCUUUGUAAGAUCCCCUAUAAUUGUCUGCAAAUUCGAAUAACUGUGAAGCAAAAUGAAUGAGAUUAAAUGCACAGGAGAGGUUGGUAGGUAUAAAGGAACUAAAUUUAACCAGCCCCUUAACUGAUUUUGAUUUGGUUAACAGCCUUCUAGAAUAAUUGGACUUAACCCCUUUGAAGACUAAUGAAGCAGCAGAAAGGGCAGCAGCAGCCUCUGCUGCUGCUUCAGUGCCUGGUGAAUCAGAAGUGAUCUUGUAGAGCGUUCGAGGGGUGUCCAUGUCUUCAGGACGCUCCCAACACUGGUGAUCAGCAUCUCCGUUCCCCACCUGUAAAUGCAAAUAUAUACCAAUGAUGUUCUAGCAAUAAGCAUCAAAUAGUAAGAGACAAAACUUAUUCUAAUGGUAACCUUACAAUUUCUAUUCCUUUUCUAUUUCGUUCUGGUUAAUAAUCUUUAAUUGAAUUAGACGUACGCAUAUUUGACAAGCAGGGCUGAGUUUGAGUUCUAUGUAAGGUGUCUUUUACUUCUGUUGUAGUAUGCUCUUACAACCAGUGUGGUUUCUGUAUUGACUUGGCUGUAAGAGUCUUGGAUGGCUUUGGCCAGGGCUUGUACCAAACUUUUUAUUAAUAAAAUAACCAGAUUGAAUGAGAAAAAAAAUUGAAAAAAAAAAAGGUAGUACUCUAUGCAAAUACUAUACAAGAACCUGACACAAACCUGGGUAUAAAGUGUGGUGGGUGAAGUGUGGGCUCGCAAAAUAAAAUCACUGCCCCAACGGAUGGCGGAGCGGAGGCGGUUCAGCUGAUUGGCCGAAGAGAUUUCCUGCCGGAACUCAACAGCUGCCCAACUUAACAGGGUGACUGUAAACGCCAUAGGCCAUCCGAACUUUACAUUGUCGCCAGCAUCAUAGUAACCUCCUACUAGAUUGACCUGCAAGAGAAAGCAAAUCCUAAACCAUAAAAAUUAUUUGUCAAGAAUCGGAAUUUAGCAGUCAGUGAUAUAUACCAAGCAUCACUGUUCUAUUGUUUCUCCUGGGAUAACCAAAUCAGCAUGAAGGUGAAAAUAACAGCUAGUUAAAUUUGUUGAAACAUCAACACUAGUCUAGCUCAGUAUAUAACAAUAUAUAUUCCGAAGUUUUUAAUUUGCCAGCCGUACUUUAUCAGGUUCGCCAUCAGUGAGUGCAGAGUCUCCCCUCCACUUCACUCUCUGUCUCGCCGGUAACUUUCCGGAACGUUGUCCUUCAAAGAACAAGACUGCUUUGUGAAGUGCAUCCGUGUAGUCAUAACCUGUGGCAGACAAACCCGAGUCCUCCACGGCUAGUCCAUUGUGACGACUAGCCAUGGCCAAGAUGCUGCCCAAGACCAAACCCCACACUAUUUCACCAGACCUCAUCGUGACUUAUAAUUGCAUGACCGUUGGUUUGGUCUAAUUGGUUAUUUAUAGACCCUUUUCAGUGGUGACCCUGAUGCCCCUCAUUGAAUAGAACGAGUAAUAAUAUUUUUCAUGGCUGUUGGUUAAUUACAAAAGAAAAACAGGGAAGUUUUAGUCAUCAGUUGCUUCUCCUUUUUUUAAAAGGAAAAUUAGAAGAGAUUUUGUUACUGUAAUUCAAUUACAAAAUAUCAAGGAAUAAUCCAACUCCAUUCCCAAAAUUAAUAUUGGUAAAAUUGAAGUUAAUUGGAUCAUAAGAUUGAGGAUGAUGACAUGGAAGAAUGGAGGACUGGAGGUGGCGUGAGGGGAAUAAACUGCAUGUAGUAAAGUCAGUAAGUUGAGUCACAAAACUGUACUAAUUAUGAGAGUAAGAAUAAGAGAUAGUUGCACCCACUCCUCAACGUCAUUUGCUACCAUCAUUCCCUUCUUAUAUAUAUGUAUACAUGGUAAUAUAUAUCCUUCCAAAUGAAAUGUAAUCCAAAGCAUUCAUUUUCUCAUUGCUUCUUAUAUAUAUAUAUGAUGAUGAUGAUGAUGAUGAUGAUGAUGAUGGGCAUGUUGAACACUUUAAUUUUAUUUGUGAAGUUUAAGAAAUAUUUAUUUAUAAAUUUUGUUUUGAAACUAUAUUUAACAUAAUUAGAACACAUGUGAACUUGAUUUUGUUUGUCAGAAAUUGAAGUUAAAAAAAAAGAAAAGAAAAGAUGUUCAAUACAUUAAUCGAACCAAAUGAAAUUUGUAUGGUAAAAUGUAUAAUUAUAAAGUGUAUUUUGAUGGAAAAGAAAGAAAGUUAUCAUAUACAAAAGCUAUGGUUUGCUUUUAACUAUCAAGAGAAGAGUGCCUGGGCUGGAGGGAAACGGCCGGAGAGAAUUAACAUUCUCAAAACAAGGAGCAAGAUUGUGCUUAAUUAAAAUAUGCAAAAGCCAAUUGAACACAAUGAACACAUAUAUGACUUCUUAUUAAUUCAGCAGUCUAUAUGUUAUCAACAAUACAUACAUGAUCUCCUCACCAAAAUUGAUUGUAUUAACCUAAAAUAUAAUAACGCAUUCAAGGGCUACCUGAAUAUACAUGGUCCGACCUCAUCUACCAGACAACAUAGAAUGUAUCCAAUGCAGGACUGCUCAGGUUUUCAAGGAAGAUAUUUCUUGCAGUUGCCUGACUAUAAUGGGAAACUGGCUAUCUCAAGGCCAUGUCUUGUAAGCAGUACUUUACGUUGGCCAAUCCAUUCGAGCCGGUAAGAAAGGUCAAGGUUAUGACUCAAGAGUUUUAAUUUGUCUGUAUAACUCCUAACAGUCUCCUGCAGAAAAGAAUGUGCAAAAGGUGUUAUGGUUUUGAAGGAGCAAUCUUGAAAGCUACCUUCUGCUAUUAUAGUUACAUAUAGAUGCAUCCAGUAAGAAAUUGCAAUGAACCCUAUACAGGUAAAUGGAGUGUGGAGUCUAUCACGAUCAUUUCAGUUCCACCUCCCCCAAAUGCACACCCACCAGCAGAAGAAUUGGAACAUAAAGACAUACCAUGUAAUAAUGAGCAGAAGAGUGUUUAAUUAACCCUAAUACACAAAGGAAUAAUCCCCUUUUCUCAAGAAAUAAUCUUCAGCUUCAUUAAUUGGAAACAUCUUGAAAGAAACAACUCGAGGAGCCCCAAAUAUCACACAAUACUCUUCUUUAGUGUUCAUCAUGAUAGGGUUUUCCUUAUAUCACAUUUCUUUCAUCCUUAUUUUAUUUUUCAUAUUUGUACUUCACAAUAUAUUUCAAAAGCAGAAUUCCGUCUUCACCAGUAUCCAACAG
rnacentral:lncRNA from 1 species